GAGAGCGCGUGCUUUGCAAGCAUGAGGUCGUCGGUUCGAUCCCGUCUGGCUCCACCAGAUGGUUUGAUCACCGAGAUCUUGACCGUCGUCCGCGAAACAUCACUUCGCAUCCUGCUAGUCUGGAUAGACAGCAGUUUGCGUGUUUUCUGACAUCGUAAAGAGGAGAUCGAUCCGAGUUGGGUCGUGCAGCAUAUCGUUGCGCGAGCCUUCAUUAUCUCCGGAUCAUUUCGGCGCUCGCUUCCAGCCGUGAGGUUGGAUGCGGGUUGUAAAUGAUCCUUUUAGCGAAGCUUGACCGCCUCGCUAUCGGAACGAUCUUACGAAGCAAGCUGGUCUUUCUAGUCAAUGUCCGGCUGCGGAUAGCGUUCAUCGAGGGCGCGUGCCGCAAGGCAAUUCUGCAGACAACAUUCUGCCGAGUGUGUGGACAUUGAUAAUGAGAGCAAUCAAGUGCCUUAAGGGUGUUCGGUGGAUGCCUUGGCGCUGAGAGGCGAUGAAGGACGUGCUACGCUGCGAUAAGCCGUGGGGAGCUGCGAAGAAGCUUUGAUCCGCGGAUUUCCGAAUGGGAAAAACCCGGAAAAG
rnacentral:misc_RNA from 1 species